GUCUCGUCCUCCAAAAAAGCUGAAGCGUGGUGUAAAGUGCAGUAAUUAAAAAUGGCGGAUUUUCUGUCCAGCAAAUACUACUCAGAAACUAAAGUUUUAAAGCUAAAACUCAUCCUAGAAAUUCUUGUGAAGAAGACCUAGUGGUAUAGAAAUUACUGAAGAGGCUAAUUGUAUUAUGUGUAUAAUUGUAAUGGAAAUCUUUUACUGGAAGUGAGUAAGAUUCCUGCAGAUGUACAGGCUAAAUGUGGUCGACUUACAGUAUCAGUGGAGAGGUAGCUCAUGCCAUCAAUCUCAGUGGACUGAGGGAAGUGUGUAUCAGGAGAGUGGAUAAAGAUGAAGUGACACUUGAUUUGGUUGAAUUCAGAUUUAAAGUGAAUUAUGAGUUUGAACUCUAGCAGUGCAUGUACAAGCAUGUGUGAUACAAUGAUACCAUAAUGAGUCAAUGAGUCAAUAUUUGAAUAAUUAUAAAUGAGAAUAUAUACAGUACCUUUAUAAAUUUAAA